rnacentral:lncRNA from 1 species
UCCCUUCUUGAUUUUUUUGGCCUACCAGAAGGUCUAUUAUAUACAGAUGCAUCUAGUGGCUCAAAAGAAGAGGGUUCCCAUGACUUCAUACUAGGUACAAGAUUGAUAUCUGGCUUGUAUGCUCUAACAAAAGUCUCUUUGGUGAUAACAACGAUCUAUAUUUUUCUCAACUUUUUUCCUAAAGAACAUGAUCGCUGCUGUUAUAUGGUAGCAUGUUAUACCAAUAACUCAAACUUCCUACACCC